GUCGUAACAAGGUCUCCGUAGGUGAACCUGCGGAGGGAUCAUUACACAAAUAUGAAGGCGGGCUGGAACCUCUCGGGGUUACAGCCUUGCUGAAUUAUUCACCCUUGUCUUUUGCGUACUUCUUGUUUCCUUGGUGGGUUCGCCCACCACUAGGACAAACAUAAACCUUUUGUAAUUGCAAUCAGCGUCGGUAACAAAUUAAUAAUUACAACUUUCAACAACGGAUCUCUUGGUUCUGGCAUCGAUGAAGAACGCAGCGAAAUGCGAUAAGUAGUGUGAAUUGCAGAAUUCAGUGAAUCAUCGAAUCUUUGAACGCACAUUGCGCCCUUUGGUAUUCCAAAGGGCAUGCCUGUUCGAGCGUCAUUUGUACCCUCAAGCUUUGCUUGGUGUUGGGCGUCUUGUCUCUAGCUUUGCUGGAGACUCGCCUUAAAGUAAUUGGCAGCCGGCCUACUGGUUUCGGAGCGCAGCACAAGUCGCACUCUCUAUCAGCAAAGGUCUAGCAUCCAUUAAGCCUUUUUUCAACUUUUGACCUCGGAUCAGGUAGGGAUACCCGCUGAACUUAAGCAUAUCA
rnacentral:rRNA from 1 species